AUUGAACGCUGGCGGCAGGCCUAACACAUGCAAGUCGAGCGAGCGGCGGACGGGUGAGUAAUGUCUGGGAAACUGUCCGAUGUAGGGGGGUAACUCUUGGAAACGGUAGCUAAUAUCCCAUACCCUCUGAUGUGCCCAGAUGGGAUGAGCUAGUAGGUGGGGUAACGGCUCACCUAGGCGACGAUCCCUAGCUGGUCUGAGAGGAGGACCAGCCACACUGGGACUGAGACACGGCCCAGACUCCUACGGGAGGCAGCAGUGGGGAAUAUUGCACAAUGGGCGAAAGCCUGAUGCAGCCAUGCCGCGUGUAUGAAGAAGGCCUUCGGGUUGUAAAGCACUUUCAGCGGGGAGGCGUUACCCGCAGAAGAAGCACCGGCUAACUACGUGCCAGCAGCCGCGGUAAUAC
rnacentral:rRNA from 1 species